rnacentral:rRNA from 1 species
GACGAACGCUGGCGGCGUGCCUAAUACAUGCAAGUUGAGCGCUUAAGGUUGGUACUUGUACCAACUGGAUGAGCAGCGAACGGGUGAUUAACGCGUGGGUAAUCUGCCUUUGAGCGGGGGACAACAUUUGGAAACGAAUGCUAAUACCGCAUAAAAACUUUAAACACAAGUUUUAAGUUUGAAAGAUGCAAUUGCAUCACUCAAAGAUGAUCCCGCGUUGUAUUAGCUAGUUGGUGAGGUAAAGGCUCACCAAGGCGAAGAUACAUAGCCGACCUGAGAGGGUGGAUGGGCCAAUUUGGAACGGAGAACGGGCCAAAAUCCUACGGGAGGCAGCAGUAGGGAAUCUUCGGCAAUGGACGAAAGUCUGACCGAGCAACGCCGCGUGAGUGAAGAAGGUUUUCGGAUCGUAAAACUCUGUUGGUAGAGAAGAAAGGUGGUGAGAGUGGAAAGCUCAUCAAGUGACGGUAACUACACAGAAAGGGACGGCUAACUACGUG